GAAUACGUCGAUCACCGGAUACAUGCCAAAAUUUGUUGGUGGAGGCAAGAAAAAAGGAGGGGGGAAAAGAAGAAAAUAGUAAGAAAGAAAGAAAUACAAGGAAAAAAAGAUCAAUCAACUUGCAUUAGCAUAUUGCAUACGUCAUGCAUAUCCAACCUCUCAUAAAUACCAUUUACCCAGAAAUAACCUUUUAAUCCCCGACAGCUGCCAUGCAUAAAAGCCAAUUUAUUCAUCUGAUAUCCCAGUGAAUAAAUUCUUUAUGACCCAUCUUC
rnacentral:lncRNA from 1 species